UUGUCCACGCUGCCCACGCGUCGAUCAUCGUCGACUGCUCCGCUUCCACCAUCUCGAAUUUUCCUUCGGUUUCGACUUCUUUCUCUCACAAAGCUGGACUUUUCAUUUUCUUCCGGUAGUCCUCCAUUUGGUACACGAACUCCUGUUCUCUCUCCCUAUUUUGCACGAACCAGAACAUAUGUUGUCUAUCCCGUUCCGAUUCAAAUAAAUUCCUGAAGGGGCUUAGAUUUCGUGUCCAAUUCCACUCUGCCAUACCCAGGAAAGCUUGGCUUCCGUUCUGAUUUGAAGAAAUUUUAAACCCAGAAAGCUUGGGUUUCCAGUCCCGACAAAAGUACUUGGAGACUUGCAGCAGAUGCAAACUCUCUUCUUAUCUAAAACUGUUUACUAUCAGGUCUUUCUUGUGUCACAUGGGUAUCAUGGAUUGCUCAAAAAUGUCUCAAAGACGUAAAGAGAUUUAUUAUGUAGCUCCGACUAUGCGGACUACGAAGCUAGCAAA